UUUUUGGAGAGUUUGAUCCUGGCUCAGGACGAACGCUGGCGGCGUGCCUAAUACAUGCAAGUCGAGCGGACCAAUAGAAGCUUGCUUCUGUUGGUUAGCGGCGGACGGGUGAGUAACACGUGGGCAACCUGCCUGUAAGACUGGGAUAACUUCGGGAAACCGGAGCUAAUACCGGAUAAUUCAUCCCCUCGCAUGAGGGGAUGCUGAAAGUCGGUUCACGCUGACACUUACAGAUGGGCCCGCGGCGCAUUAGCUAGUUGGUGAGGUAAUGGCUCACCAAGGCGACGAUGCGUAGCCGACCUGAGAGGGUGAUCGGCCACACUGGGACUGAGACACGGCCCAGA
rnacentral:rRNA from 1 species